rnacentral:rRNA from 1 species
AUGCACGCUGGCGGCGUGCCUAACACAUGCAAGUCGAACGGAGUCGUUUUGGAAAUCUCUUCGGAGAUGGAAUUCUCGACUUAGUGGCGGACGGGUGAGUAACGCGUGAGCAAUCUGCCUUUAAGAGGGGGAUAACAGUCGGAAACGGCUGCUAAUACCGCAUAAAGCAUUAAAUUCGCAUGUUUUUGAUGCCAAAGGAGCAAUCCGCUUUUAGAUGAGCUCGCGUCUGAUUAGCUAGUUGGCGGGGUAACGGCCCACCAAGGCGACGAUCAGUAGCCGGACUGAGAGGUUGAACGGCCACAUUGGGACUGAGACACGGCCCAGACUCCUACGGGAGGCAGCAGUGGGGAAUAUUGCGCAAUGGGGGAAACCCUGACGCAGCAACGCCGCGUGAUUGAAGAAGGCCUUCGGGUUGUAAAGAUCUUUAAUCAGGGACGAAACAAAUGACGGUACCUGAAGAAUAAGCUCCGGCUAACUACGU